rnacentral:rRNA from 1 species
GACAGAGGAUGCAAGCGUUAUCCGGAAUGAUUGGGCGUAAAGCGUCUGUAGGUGGCUUUUUAAGUCCGCCGUCAAAUCCCAGGGCUCAACCCUGGACAGGCGGUGGAAACUACCAAGCUGGAGUACGGUAGGGGCAGAGGGAAUUUCCGGUGUAGCGGUGAAAUGCGUAGAGAUCGGGAGGAACACCAGAGGCGAAGGCGACUAUCUGGGCUGCAACUGACGCUGAGGCGCGAAGGCUAGGGUAGCAAACAGG